AGCUUCAUGGCGUAAUGGAAGCGCACUAGGUUCUCAAUUCAAGUCACCUGAAGGUCCUUUGAUCAAAACAGGGUGAGGCUA